AUACGGAGGAUGCGAGCGUUAUCCGGAUUUAUUGGGUUUAAAGGGAGCGUAGGCGGGAGCUUAAGUCAGCGGUUAAAUGGUGCGGCUCAACCGUGCCCUGCCGUUGAAACUGGGUUUCUUGAGAGUGCAAGAGGCGGAUGGAAUUCAUGGUGUAGCGGUGAAAUGCUUAGCUAUCAUGAAGAACUCCGAUUGCGAAGGCAGUCCGCUGGGGCACGUCUGACGCUGAUACUCGAAGGUGCGGGAAUCAAACAGGAUUAGAUACCCUGGUAGUCCGCACGGUAAACGAUGAUUACCCGCUGUCGGCGGUAGACAGUCGGCGGCCAAGCGAAAGCGAUAAGUAAUCCACCUGGGGAGUACGCCGGCAACGGUGAAACUCAAAUGAAUUGACGGGG
rnacentral:rRNA from 1 species